AAGUGGGCUGAAUUCAAGGAUAUGAGCUUUGGAUAUAGCAUGUUUUCCACCUGUUUGGGGGUAGGAAAAAGCAACUCAGAAGAUGACACAGAAAGAAGGGACAAGGGGCAAGGAAAAUAAGGCAGAUAGUCAUGUGACUAUAUAGCAUAUACCACUAUAUAUAUAGCAUAUAGCCAUCAGCAGUAAUCAAUGCUUCUUGAACAUUAUUUCUUUUGAUCUCAUAGAUUCCCCUCCAGAUUUUCCUUCUGCUCUGGUUCUCAGAGCUCUAUGGAAGACUGGGAUGCUGGUAGCUUGCUCUUCACUCAGAGGACAUAACAUAAUGGAGGGUGUUUAGGUGCAAUCACAUUCCCUGUCUCAUCACUGGAAGAUCAGAGGGACUCGUUCUUGUGAGAAGUACAGACAAGUCGGAAGGCUGGCUGACUUUCACACAGAAGUGGGAUAUAAGAGAAACUGGAAAAUAUCCAGAGAGGCUGCUGAGGCUACUUACCGGUAGUGGCCCCGAACCACACCAUCAGGGUUUAACAUGGGAAUCAACUUAAAGACAAAGAGUCGACGUAGGGUUUGUGCCCGGGGGUCAUCAGGUCGAAGGAUGAAGUCCAAAAAGCCAUUGAAGACAAAGCUAGAUGGAGUCUCUCCAGGGUGUACCCUGCUGCUUAAGAAGAAUAUCUGAGGUGGAGAAGAAAGCAAAUAUAAGGUUGUUAGCAUGGCUGGCUGAUGCUCAGAGACCAGUUAAGAAUUCUACCUCCUUUGAACUGCCUUUGACUCGGUUUGGGGAACAAAACUUCUCUGUGGUGGGAGAGAUUGUAACUUAAAAUAUGUGUGGUAAUCAAUGCCAUGGCAGUGUGGGAAAGAAGGCAAAAAUCUGGAGACUGUCAAGAUCAGUGACAUUCAGUGGCUCUGGGAAAGCAUAAUGAGAAGCCAGGGCCUUUCUAUGUUGGUGAAAUUUACCUGUCUGUGGAGUGGUGGACACAUGCCAUCAGGCACUUAAGACUUAUUGGACUUUUAAUUUUAUGUAUGUAUGUACAUGAGUGCAGGUAUGUAUAGACACCAAAGGCAUCAGGAAUCUGAGCUGGAGUUAUGGUUGUGAACCAUCUAUAUGAGUACUGGGAACUGAACAUGGGUCCUCUUGAAGAAGCAGUAUGUACUCUUGGCCACUGAGUCAUCACUCCCAGGUCCACAACAGGAAUUUCAUGUAACCUACUAAUUUGGAAGGAAGAACUCAUCUAAGGUACAGACCUUGGGUGGUAGCUGAGUCAGUGUAGGGCCAGACUGUAACAUAUGCAUGUUAAAGAGAUAAAUGGCGGGGAAGCUGUGUGUGUGUGUGCUUGAGCGUGGUGAUAAGAACAAGCCUCUAGUUUUGCCUUUGAUAUGAACCUGAAAUUGCUCUAAAAUAACUCAAAUAUUUUUACCAGUAUGUUAACAUCACUUACUGAUAGUGCAUUAUAGUACAUUAGGUUUUGUUUGUUUUUGAAGACAGGGUUUCUCUGUGUAGCCCUGGCUGACUUGGAAUUCACUCUGUGGACCAGGUUGGCCUAGAACUCAGAGAUCUACCUUUCUUUGUUUACCAAGUGAUGGGAUUAAAGGAGUGCACCACCACACCCAGCUCAGUACAUUAGUUAUUAGGGCGCAAGACAUAUUUGAUAUCAGGCCACGCAGAUGCCUUUAAUUCCAGCACUUGGGAGGAAGAGGCAGAGGUAGGCAGAUUGAUCUCUGUGAGUUCCAGGACAGGCUCCAAAAGCUACACAGAGAAAAACCUUGUCUAAAAAAAAAAAAACAACAACAAACACACACAUAUAUUAAAUAUUCAUCCAUACCCUGAAUAACGGGAAACUAUUAUAGAGUAAAAGAAUGGAUCACUUUAAGAAGUCCCACCUCUCUUUUUUUUUUGAGACAGGGUUUCUGUGUGUAGUUUUGGAGCCGGUCCUGGAACUCUGUAGACCAGGAUGGCCUUGAACUCACAGAGAUCUACCUGCCUCUGCCUCCUGAGUGCUGGGAUUAAAAGCGUGCAUCUGGACAUUUAAGGAUUUUAACACUAGAAAUUAUGAACCCAUGUUAAAUCACCACAGAGUAAAUGUCAGCACAGAAUCAUGACAUGCCCAAGGAUGCUGGAUUGGGAAAACAAAACAAAACACAACCAGGCUAGUAUUUUCUUAACUGUUCUUGCAAAAGCAUAGUUAGUAUCUUGUCUUGUGCUAUGGCUACUCCAGGCUGUCAAAAGUCCUCUCCAACUCAUGAGGUAGGGUUGAACUGUUUGUGGCUGAUGGACGAGAAUAAACAGAACAUGCUGUGGGACACUUGUACAAUCUGGCCUGGUAGGCCAUGUUUGGUCCUUGGACAGAAAAGGCUUUUUCUCACUGGGAACAAAGUUCACAGUUAAAGGCCAGUAAGGCAGCAAGCUGUGACUGUUUACUUCCUAAAAUAAGUAGCAAAAGCCAGAGGCUUUGUGUAUAAAUUGGGUCAAGAUGUUUCCAAACUUGCUACUUUAAUUUCACUUGGGGAAGGGACAGUGUGGUAUCUCUAGGUGCCACAGGAGAGGGAUGGAAAGGAAGUGACUGCCAUUCCUGCUGAACUGUGGUGCUUCUGGGGGAAACAAAGCUGCCUGAGGAACAGCACUUACUAGACCUAAAGAGCCCAAGGGACAGAACUAACAACCCUGCAAUGAGUUAUCUCAAACCAAAAUGAAAAGACUGGUAAUAAACCCUGGUUUUAUGUUUUGGAGUUCUCAACCAUUGUCUGAUAAAAUGAACCAAUUAAUAAAUGAAGGAUCAGGAGAUCA